AUCAGGAUAUGGUGUCGCUGUUGGAGGUGCAAGAAUAAUUUGAGCCGUUUAGACUGCGGCCAUCAGAGUUUGAACCUGCUGGAAGAGCACAUUGAAUUGAUCCAUCGUGAUCAAUGCUGGCUAGGCUGAUGGAGUUUCCAUCAUUGGUGGCUACACCUAGUUAUUAGCUUGGCUCUCUACCAAGUGGGAGGCAGUGGCAUUGGUAUGAUGGGAUGAAACUCUUUUUGGUAGCAUGAUGUCUUGUUGCUCUCGAUCAACACUCCUUCAAGUGGAUCAUAAUCUCUUUCUCUAACGUCAAUCUGUUGAUACA
rnacentral:lncRNA from 1 species